AACACAUGCAAGUCGAACGUGAUUUUUGUGGAAAUUCUUUCGGGAAUGGAAAUGAAAUGAAAGUGGCGAACGGGUGAGUAACACGUGAGCAACCUACCUUACACAGGGGGAUAGCCGUUGGAAACGACGAUUAAUACCGCAUGAGACCACAGAAUCGCAUGAUAUAGGGGUCAAAGAUUUAUCGGUGUAAGAAGGGCUCGCGUCUGAUUAGCUAGUUGGAAGGGUAAAGGCCUACCAAGGCGACGAUCAGUAGCCGGUCUGAGAGGAUGAACGGCCACAUUGGAACUGAGACACGGUCCAAACUCCUACGGGAGGCAGCAGUGGGGAAUAUUGCACAAUGGGGGGAACCNCUGAUGCAGCGACGCCGCGUGAGCGAAGAAGGUUUUCGAAUCGUAAAGCUCUGUCCUAUGAGAAGAUAAUGACGGUAUCAUAGGAGGAAGCCCCGGCUAAAUACGUGCCAGCAGCCGCGGUAAUACGUAUGGGGCGAGCGUUGUCCGGAAUUAUUGGGCGUAAAGGGUACGUAGGCGGUUUUUUAAGUCAGGUGUGAAAGC
rnacentral:rRNA from 1 species